rnacentral:misc_RNA from 1 species
UCCGGUUUGUCACCGGCAGUCUCAUUAGAGUGCCCUUUCGUAGCAACUAAUGACAAGGGUUGCGCUCGUUGCGGGACUUAACCCAACAUCUCACGACACGAGUUGACGACAGCCAUGCAGCACCUGUGUUCUGGCUCCCUUUCGGGCACUCCCACAUCUCUGCGGGAUUCCAGACAUGUCAAGGGUAGGUAAGGUGGGGAUGACGUCCGGAAUGUCGAUA